rnacentral:rRNA from 1 species
UAGAGUUUGAUCAUGGCUCAGGAUGAACGCUAGCGACAGGCUUAACACAUGCAAGUCGAGGGGCAGCGGGGAGGUAGCAAUACUUCCGCCGGCGACCGGCGCACGGGUGAGUAACACGUAUGGAACCUGCCCGUAGCAGGGGGAUAAGCGGAAGAAAUUCCGUCUAAUACCGCGUAAUAACUCCGAGAGGCAUCUCCUGGGGUUUAAAGGGUAACACCGGCUACGGAUGGCCAUGCGGCGCAUUAGCUAGUUGGCGGGGUAACGGCCCACCAAGGCGACGAUGCGUAGGGGUUCUGAGAGGAAGGUCCCCCACACUGGUACUGAGACACGGACCAGACUCCUACGGGAGGCAGCAGUGAGGAAUAUUGGUCAAUGGGCGCGAGCCUGAACCAGCCAAGUCGCGUGAGGGAAGACGGUCCUAUGGAUUGUAAACCUCUUUUGUCGGGGAGCAAAAGACGCCACGCGUGGCGUUCCGAGAGUACCCGAAGAAAAAGCAUCGGCUAACUCCGUGCCAGCAGCCGCGGUAAUACGGAGGAUGCGAGCGUUAUCCGGAUUUAUUGGGUUUAAAGGGUGCGCAGGCGGAAGAUCAAGUCAGCGGUAAAAUUGAGAGGCUCAACCUCUUCGAGCCGUUGAAACUGGUUUUCUUGAGUGAGCGAGAAGUAUGCGGAAUGCGUGGUGUAGCGGUGAAAUGCAUAGAUAUCACGCAGAACUCCGAUUGCGAAGGCAGCAUACCGGCGCUCAACUGACGCUCAUGCACGAAAGUGUGGGUAUCGAACAGGAUUAGAUACCCUGGUAGUCCACACAGUAAACGAUGAAUACUAAUUGUUCGGGGAGAAUGAUCCCUGAGUGAUACAGCGAAAGCGUUAAGUAUUCCACCUGGGGAGUACGCCGGCAACGGUGAAACUCAAAGGAAUUGACGGGGGCCCGC